AGCCACCUAUUGACAGCCAUUAGAUUGCGGAUUGUUGUGUUGAGUGGUUGUCCUGUUGUUUUCCUAUUUUUCCAUGAAAAUUAGUAAAUUACCGAUGAAUUCAUAAGAAGGAACGGGAAAGCGGAAAGGAAACAGUAGCAUACAAGUAGCCAACCAUUACUACCACCAACUCUUUUAUUAAAAAUCGUCGUUCUGCUGAAUGCAUCAUGCAGUUAAUACAGUUUCUAUUGACCUUGGUAGGUCACUACUGGGUCACUACCCUAGUGUGGACAUGUUUGUUUCUGAACAUGUUUUUCAACAAAUAAUUCAUUGACGUUCAAGGAAAGCUAUGAAAAAUAUCAUAUCAUCUAGGCCAUGGAUAAUCUUCAGGUUUAUUGCAGUGAGCAGCUUAAUAGAGGAAUGUGAACAAAUGCAGGGCACUGGGCACAUACCAACAUGUGUUGUAUUUUUCUGAAUGUUAACACGAGCAAUUCAACAUGACUAACUGUUUGAUGCCAAAGUUAAACUCAAACUUUAAACUCAACUCACUGUACGUACUCUAACACAGAUAACUGGUGCUGUUGCCUUUCAGCCAAAGGCAGGAAAAUUAUUCUUUACUUCAGAAAAUUGGAAAGCUGCUGGAGUAAUCUAGUGUUCCACCAGGUGUUCCACUUGAUUCAUUUCGUGCCAGCGAGUGAAAGGCGUAACGAAUUCAAGUUGAGCUGCUGCGUGCUGUCUUCAAGCAAGCAAUCCAGCCGUUCCGUUCUGUCAUUUGGAACAGGAAUCUAAUGGCUGUCAAUAGGUGGCUGUGAAUAAGUGGCUGAAAUGAUGUCCACCAGGUGGCGCGAAUCUCUUCGAGGACGCUUAACGGCCAUUUUGUUCCAAGACGCAGCAGAG
rnacentral:lncRNA from 1 species